rnacentral:rRNA from 1 species
AUACGGAGGGGGCUAGCGUUGUUCGGAAUUACUGGGCGUAAAGCGCGCGUAGGCGGCUUAUCAAGUUAGGCGUGAAAGGCCUGGGCUCAACCCGGGAACUGCGCUUAAUACUGGUAGACUUGAGUCCGGGAGAGGGUGGCGGAAUUCCCAGUGUAGAGGUGAAAUUCGUAGAUAUUGGGAAGAACACCAGUGGCGAAGGCGGCUACCUGGACCGAUACUGACGCUGAGGUGCGAAAGCGUGGGGAGCAAACAGAAUUAGAAACCCCGGUAGUCC